UACUAAUAUUAUUAGUAAAACUUACUCAAAAAAUCGGUAAAGUUUACUGAUAUUCCGACAAAAACGACUUUACCUAUUUUUGAGUAAUUGCAUUUACCCAUAUUUGGGUGAAAAAUUGAACAUAAACAAAUCCAAACUGAUGGUCGCCGCGUCAACGUCGUCGUCGCAAGUAUUUAUUUUUCCCUAUUUUAUUCAUUUACCGGGCAGUCAAAAUUGAUAAUCUCGAUAAUCUUUCUUCCGAAUAUAUUCAAGCACCGGUCGGUAACACCAUAUCGGCUUCCUCGAAAAUUUACCUGGCGAUGGCGAUCAACGAUAAUAGGAAACAGAAUAGUUCCCGAACCAUCGGCGGAGAGAAGCAUCUCUGCUCGAAUAGCUGACAAUAGCUGACCACAAACGGGACAAUAUGUUGUUUCAUGCACCUGGUGUCACGGCGAUCAACGAUUAUAGGAAACAGAAUAGUUCCCGAACCAUCGGCGGAGAGAACCAUCUCUGCUCAGAUAGCUGACAAUUUCUGACCACAAACGGCACAAUACGUUGCUUCGGUAUCAAUCAGUCAUACAGCACCUGCUUUGAUUUUGUCAUUGGGCACUCAACACAUCAAUGGAUCGCAAGGCCGGCUGUUACUAAAAGCUCCAAUGGAUUACAUUUCCGGACAACUCUAAUCAGGAGCUAUGAGGAGAGCUACGAUGUUCGUUGUUAAAAUUUUUGUCCUGCCGGUGCUACAUGUUAUCCCCCCUCAUUCGCUGUCUGUCCCGGUGCUACAAUUCCUGCUCGUAGUGAAACUCAUUCAUUCGCUUCUCCAGAAGCAACUCCAAACGAUAGAUAAUGAAGAAGAUCUUGAUUUAAUGGUCUUUGCACAUGUGGUGGUGACGGAACGGGUUUUUUUUUUACCGUACUUCUUCUAGCCAAGCGUCCAGCAUCCUAAUAGAUCAAGUUUUGAGAUUAUAUACCAUCAGAUUCUUACACGGCGACUGCGGAGCAGGCUAGCAGGUGACCCGGUACCUGCUGCGGUUAACGCUUACUGACCCCAAGCUGCUGCGGAUCAUCCAGCCGUCGCCAGCUCUGGUAUCGUCGAUCGGGUGAUUUUAAUCUUUCGUUCAUCAGUUUUGUUAAUGCAACCAAAGCCCAACAUCCAACACUCACAAAAAACUCCGCAUUAUAUUCAUGAGUUUACACAUGGAUUUUUGCAAUGGGGGUAGCGAAAUGGAUUCCAUAUGUUCGACACAUAUAUUUCAUGCGC